GCGGCAAAAGCUCAAAUUUGAAAUCUGGUACCUUCGGUGCCCGAGUUGUAAUUUGGAGAGGGCAACUUUGGGGCCGUUCCUUGUCUAUGUUCCUUGGAACAGGACGUCAUAGAGGGUGAGAAUCCCGUGUGGCGAGGAGUGCGGUUCUUUGUAAAGUGCCUUCGAAGAGUCGAGUUGUUUGGGAAUGCAGCUCUAAGUGGGUGGUAAAUUCCAUCUAAAGCUAAAUAUUGGCGAGAGACCGAUAGCGAACAAGUACAGUGAUGGAAAGAUGAAAAGAACUUUGAAAAGAGAGUGAAAAAGUACGUGAAAUUGUUGAAAGGGAAGGGCAUUUGAUCAGACAUGGUGUUUUGUGCCCUCUGCUCCUUGUGGGUAGGGGAAUCUCGCAUUUCACUGGGCCAGCAUCAGUUUUGGUGGCAGGAUAAAUCCAUAGGAAUGUAGCUUGCCUCGGUAAGUAUUAUAGCCUGUGGGAAUACUGCCAGCUGGGACUGAGGACUGCGACGUAAGUCAAGGAUGCUGGCAUAAUGGUUAUAUGCCGCCCGUCUUGA
rnacentral:rRNA from 1 species